UAGUUAGGGAGGCGAAUAGGGGAAUUUUCGGCAAUACUCGAGCGUGGCAGUUUAAGAUAUGAGAGAUACCUUAGAGCUAAUAGAACAACCUUGUAAAGUAUUUAGCUCUAUAUGUAGUGACGCGCGCCUAGGAUAGACGAUCAGAUUAGUAAAAAAAAAUGGAUAGUCUGAAAUACUCGAGCGCGUCAGAUUAAGAUAUUGGGGGUUGAUUUUAGUGGUUAAAGACUAAAUUUAACUAAUCUGACGAUAAGUCCUUGACGCCGCCGAGUUAUAAGGUCGCGAACUUGUAAAAAAAAAACGUUAAUCCGGCAUUCUCGAGCGCGAUUUUUUUUUUUUAUUAUUUUGAAGAAUAUAAUCUAAAACUUACUAAAAAUACAAAAUCUGCCGGUUUCCGCAUGACCGGAAGGGUGGAGGAGCCAUUUCGUCUUCCUAAGAACGCGUUGCGGCAUAUAAGUCGCGAACGAUACAUUUUACAAAAAAAAAGUUUAAAUAAACAAAAAAGGUAAUUUUAUUUUACACAAAAAAGGUAUCUUUACAUUUUUGUCCAAAGUUAAAACUUUUUGACUUGAAGCAUCAUAAAAUCGGUCAGAUUAAGAGAACCCACCAACAUUUUUGUCAGAUUAAAAAAAUAUGCUUUCAGGAUACCGAGAUAAACCUCCCCUAUGAAAAUCUGACGCGCUCGAGUAUUUCAAAAAAACUUUUUUUUUUGCAUUUUCAAAAAUUCAUCGUAACUUAUCGUCACGCCGAAAUCGUCAGUUUUUUUAAACGAAGCUUCCUUGGGGCCUACUUAACACCCCUUCCGAAAAUCUGACGCGCUCGAGUAAUUUUUUUUUUUGCAUUUUUGACUACUUUAUAUGCCUACCCCCACCACGCAAACCGGCAGAUUAGUAUACCGUUGUUAUCAGAGGCACUCGGGGCAUACGUAGUAUGAAUAUCUGACGCGCUCGAGAAUGCCCAAGUAACUGUUUUUUUUUACAUUUUUGAAAAACCGUACACGCCAAACCCACCGCUAAAAUGGUUUUUGCCAUACGAGCUUUUCUUUUCGAAAUUAUUUUAUCUUUCGAUUUUGAUAGGUCUCGACGGCGCCGUUGAAUUACGCCAUUUAGCUACCUCGCCUCCCUAACUACUAGUACUUAUGUCCAUGCACAGUUAAAAUCAUAUAUUUUCAAUUAUUUUGUAAAUGACUACAGUUAUGACUAUGAUUAUUAGAAACCAAUUAUAGUACGUUUAAUAUUCUUUCUAAUAGUAUCCAUCACCAAUUUAUCAGUAAAAUAGAACCUAAGAAAUAAUGAACAGUUGAGGUCGAUCGCCCGCCAUUUACGUGAUGGUGCGUAGUGACCCAUGCUGAACAAAAUUCAUUAUUACUUGGUUAUAUAAUAUCAUAUACCAAUAAAACUUAUGUUUUUGGAAAGCUAAUGAAAUUUCUCGUAUAUUUUGUAAUAACAUUAAUUGCGGUAAAGUUAUAAUUUAUUGAGUUAGACGCAUGUUUUGUCAGUACUUAUGCCAUCUAUGCACGGUAAAAAAUCAUAUAUUUUAAAUUAUUUUGUAAACGACUACAGUUAAGACUACGGUUAUUAUGAACCAAUAAUAGCACGUUUAAUACUCUUUCAAACGACACCUCACAUGAACCGAUCGGUCCCAUA